UACGUAGGGUGCGAGCGUUAAUCGGAGUUACUGGGCGUAAAGCGUGCGCAGGCGGCUUUGCAAGACAGAGGUGAAAUCCCCGGGCUCAACCUGGGAACUGCCUUUGUGACUGCAAGGCUAGAGUACGGCAGAGGGGGAUGGAAUUCCGCGUGUAGCAGUGAAAUGCGUAGAUAUGCGGAGGAACACCGAUGGCGAAGGCAAUCCCCUGGGCCUGUACUGACGCUCAUGCACGAAAGCGUGGGGAGCAAACAGGAUUA
rnacentral:rRNA from 1 species